GAUCGGGUUGAGGCAUGGAAACAACCUAUUUGUAGAAAUGCAAGCUAGGUGCAUACGGUACACACAUACUAUACCCUAUCCGGACACUGGCCAGGGAGCAUUACAUAUACAUGGUAAGCCCUUUUAGACAUAUUAGGUAUCACACACAAAUGACACAAGUUUGAUUCACAGUACGAUAAACUAAAUUCAGCAGUCCUUAUAUUUCUGUGGCCACAUAUCACACCAAGGUUAACACAGUAAAAUAAUGAUGAUGAUCUGAUUUUGAAAAAGAAAA